UACAGAGGUCUCAAGCGUUGUUCGGAUUCAUUGGGCGUAAAGGGUGCGUAGGUGGCGCCGUAAGUCAGGUGUGAAAUUUCGGAGCUUAACUCCGAAACUGCAUUUGAUACUGCGGUGCUUGAGGACUGGAGAGGAGACUGGAAUUUACGGUGUAGCAGUGAAAUGCGUAGAGAUCGUAAGGAAGACCAGUGGCGAAGGCGGGUCUCUGGACAGUUCCUGACCACUGAGGCAACGAAGGCCAGGGGAGCAAACGGG
rnacentral:rRNA from 1 species